AGGAACUAGGCAGGGCAGGCCUCUGCAGGGGACAGAAUGCAGCCUCACAAUCCUGCCCUGACGCGAAGAUUCUCAGGUUCUGAGCCUGGAGUCCUGCCGCUAGGAAGAGGCUCGCGGUGCCACCUACCACCUCACCUCCGGGGGCUGGACUGGCUGGGGAGACGCCUGUUUCAUACCACUGGCGAGGGGACCCUUGAUGAAACCUUGACUGUGAGAGGGUUGCAGGCCUCAAAGAAAAAGAAUACCAUCUCUAACCGGCUGCGUCAAGGCAUCUGGGUUAUAAGCGGACUGAUUCUUGGCGAGAACUGGUUACUCUUCCCAAAGCGAUCAGAUUAAAGUUGUUUUUCAUAAGUAAAUGCCACUUGCUGCGUCUACAGGUCUGGAAAGCUCCAACCUCUCACAGAGGUUUUUCUCUGUAACUUUGUGUCUCCCCUACAACGAUGCAUUUUAAGUCUUGCUUGGUAGCAUUACAUAACUCAUCUUUGGGUUUUUAUGAUUGAUUAACGUAGCCCUAUCAUUAUGAAACAGUGACUUGAUCUGUUAGCAUUAUUAAAAACUUAUGUUUGCCUUA